rnacentral:piRNA from 1 species
UGGGAGCGAGUAUUUGAGCAAGG